rnacentral:rRNA from 1 species
GCUCAUUAAAUCAGUUAUCGUUUAUUUGAUAGUACCUUUCCUACUUGGAUAACCGUGGUAAUUCUAGAGCUAAUACAUGCUAAAAAUCCCGACUUCGGAAGGGAUGCAUUUAUCAGAUACAGAACCAAUGCCCUCCGGGGCUUCCUGGUGAAUCAUGAUAACUCCGCGGAUCGCACGGCCUUGCGCUGGCGAUGGUUCAUUCAAAUUUCUGCCCUAUCAACUUUCGACGGCUGGGUCUUGGCCAGCCGUGGUGACAACGGGUAACGGAGGGUUAGGGCUCGACCCCGGAGAAGGAGCCUGAGAGACGGCUACUACAUCCAAGGAAGGCAGCAGGCGCGCAAAUUACCCAAUCCCGACACGGGGAGGUAGUGACAAUAAAUACUGAUCCAGGGCUCUUUUGGGUCUUGGAAUUGGAAUGAGUACAAUUUAAAUCCCUUAACGAGGAACAAUUGGAGGGCAAGUCUGGUGCCAGCAGCCGCGGUAAUUCCAGCUCCAAUAGCGUAUAUUAAAGUUGUUGAGGUUAAAAAGCUCGUAGUUGAACCUUGGGCCUGGCUGGCCGGUCCGCCUCACCGCGUGCACUGGUCCGGCCGGGCCUUUCCCUCUGGGGAACCUCAUGCCCUUCACUGGGUGUGCUGGGGAACCAGGACUUUUACUCUGAACAAAUCAGAUCGCUCAAAGAAGGCUCUCGCUCGAAUGCAUUAGCAUGGAAUAAUGGAAUAGGACGCGCGGUCCUAUUUUGUUGGUUUCUAGGACCGCCGUAAUGAUUAAUAGGGACAGUCGGGGGCAUCCGUAUUCAGUUGUCAGAGGUGAAAUUCUUGGAUCUACUGAAGACGAACUACUGCGAAAGCAUUUGCCAAGGAUGUUUUCAUUAAUCAGGAACGAAAGUUAGGGGAUCGAAGACGAUCAGAUACCGUCGUAGUCUUAACCAUAAACUAUGCCGAUUAGGGAUCGGACGAUGCUAUUUUUUGGCUCGUUCGGCACCUUACGACAAAUCAAAAUGUUUGGGCUCCU